GAAGAAUGAAUCCAGUGGUUGAUGUAAAAGCGAGAUCCUGGGAGAAGGAGCUGUUGAGUCCUUAGGACUGGAGCACCUGGCCCAAUAUACAGUGGGCUGUCACUCUUUCCACACUUCCCACUGCAUCCCAGGACAAAGGUUCUUAGUCAUCUGUAACCAGACCACAGGACAAGCCCAUGGAAGCAAAGCCCCCAUUGGAUGCCAGCUCACCCCGACUUAUCCUGGAGUUUUCUGUCCUGAGUUUUCCAACUUCUGCAUGCAGUUUUCUCUCCCACGCCAGCAACAGGUGUGAUCGCAUUGAGCUGUGCACAGCUUCGUGGGCACUCUGAGGGACUGGGCAGCAUUAAUAAUUCAGGUGCUGAAUGGGGAUAAUGAAAGCUCCCUGCCACACACCAAAGGUUGACACAUUCAACUGAACUUUGCUGAGUUCCUGUUCAUGCUGGAGACAUAACAGCAAGCAUCUUUCCCCUCAGGCUGCUCCU
rnacentral:lncRNA from 1 species